CCUGGAAGAAAAACUGGGGGAAACCUUGGGUUGGGCUCAUCCUCGCCGUUUCUGGAAAAAUUGCUGGGCUGGACGCAACCACCCCGGCGCUCACCGGCGGCGCCGCCUCGCGACUAAUCAAGCCCCGCGGCCGCCGGCCCCAACGCAGACGGCGCACCUAUCGCGUCGCGGGCACGCCGCCGCGCCCCGUCGCGCGGCCCGCCCUGCUGCACCGCCUCAGACCAAUGGCUCGGGGAUAGGAGAAGAGAGCAAAUUUGCAACACGGCCAUCGUUUUUGAUACUGCCAGUGACUUGACCCUUGAAAAUUGCAGUGACACUUUUGAGCAACUGAGUACCAGGGAACAUCCUGUCUCUGGAAUGCAAGUAUUCAUGAGGAAGCGGUGGAGCAGGGAGAUGGAAUUUGUUGGCCAUGCCCGGUAGAGGUACCGGGCUUCGAUAAUCGAUAUGAUGAUGCUCACUGACAGAAGUGAAGCCAAAACCAACAGAUGGAACAAGUUAUCCUAUUCUUCACCGUUACAUGUAACGAUAAAGAAAUCUUCACCAAAGCAGAGGGAUUCGAGCCUGGCAGUUUCCUGGAAAGACUGAUGAAGGAAGAUGUUGACUCCAGAUGGAAAAAGGGAACACGGUUGAUUGCUGUGUGUCUGGGUGGGUGACACCAUUCUCUUUUUCUUGUCACUAGUCAACAAUUUGUGGCCCUUAUUGGAUGGAAAAUUUGGAAGAAAGCCGCCAAGGAUGACUGCUUCAACGCAUGGCGUGGUUUAUUUAGAGCAUGGUUAAUAGUAUAGCCAACUGCUGGCUAUAAGCAGUCUUAUAGUCCAUCUUAUAGCUAGCUUGUACAAUAGUUAGCUAUAAAAGAGUACUAUUUUUAUCAUAUAUGGCCCACCUUUCAUUCUUACAAAGCACCUAGGAGCACGUGCUAGAGCGGGCUUUUCACGAAGAGAGCGCUUCACUUCUCUCUCCUCUUCUCUCUCAUCCAACUCAGCAAAAAUAUAGUAUUUUAAUCCUUACAGCCUGCUGAUUGUACAUUAUUGUACUUGCUCUUAUUGAUUGAUCGAAGAGACUGAGUUAACAGGUGCAUGCACACAUGUCCCAGUUCAGUUCCUUGAUACGUGUAAUUUAUGUAAUGGAUGAAGGAGAGUGAUGGGUUGUUGGGGUGUCAAUUGCUGCUAUCCAAUGCAUGAAGUCUUGCAGUCUUAGUUCAGUUCUGUUGAAAGUUUAAGUUCUGGGUUCGAUUUGUGCUCGUUUAUUUUUUUCUUAUGGGAGGAAUCAUAUCAUGGUACGGUGUAUUUGCAUGUAAUAAGUAUGAAAUGGUUACUUAUUGUCCA